GGAUAGCCCCGUCUGCUCAAACCCACACACGUGUCGACACGAUGGCCUGGGUGCCCCUGACUUCGGUUUCGGGGUUGGUCAUUGGGAUACGUGGAGGCCCAACC
rnacentral:sRNA from 2 species